rnacentral:lncRNA from 1 species
AAAAAAAAAAAUUAAAUAAGUGAGAAGCGAAUCUAGAGUAGCAUCUGUUCUUCAACCGAUUAGUUUGGUCUGUGUUCAACUGUAUCGCUUAAUAUGUUCUGUGCAAGUCCAAAAACAUCUGAGAGAAAACUCGUGUCUGUUAUUGUCAUCCCGUUCCUGUCUUUUGUCACUACCUCAGAUAGAGAAAAGACAACAGAUCAAUACCUGGUGACCUCAAGAAGACUGUCAUCUGAAAAUCCUCAACAAACACUAAAGAUUAUGGAAUAAUCAAGGACAUUGGUGACUGCACUUACAACAUGGACUUUUGUACUGAAGAAUUUAUUUCUUUCUGAUUCCAUGGUGUGUUUUAUUUUGGAUAUCUGUUGAUAAUCAGAACUACUUUAAGAAUCUUUUAUUUGAUGGUUUUUAACUAAAGAACAAACUAAUUGAUAUCAAAGUAAUUAUGCUACAACCAACCUAUCCUGAAGUGUUUCUUCAUAGCUGAGAAAUCCUCAGACUUUGACAAAUGACACUAUUUAUUGCAAAAGAAAAUAUAAGCCUAAUGUCAGUUUUAUCAAAAAAAAUAUAUAUUUUGAGAUGGAGUGUUCUCUUUAGUUAUGACAAUAUCUGAAGUUUUAAUUUAUGUGAAUAGGAUGGAGGAGAAAAUGUUGCAAAGUCAGGUUCAUGGUGAAACACAGUCUGAAAGUAGUGAUUUAUUUCCUGAGACACAAGGGGAUACAAAGAAGGUAUCAUAUACUUGUGAUGUCUGUAGGAAGACAUUUGUAGGAAGUCUUUCUCUUAGAAUUGUAUUUCAACUAAUCAUAAAUAUACUCACACUGGUGAAAGAUCAUAUCACUGUGGUUAAACAUUCACUCAGUAUGGUCAUUUAACUACUCACACAGGUGAGAAACCGUAUCACUUUGAUAUCUGUGGUAAGUCAUUUACUCAAAAAAGUAGCUAAAAAGUCACAUUAAGUUGCACAGUAAACAAAAAAAAAAAAAUGAAAGUAUAAUCCUUAGAGAAGUUCAAAAUAUAUGGGGGUUUUUUUUUUUGCACAAUAAAAUACUUAAGCCACUAUAGCAAAAAGUUUGUGUGGAAGACAUUACACUUAGAUUUCUAAUAAAAAAAAUUAUUGGAAAAUGGAUUUAGAUGCGUUCUUAAAUUCUUAUUUCAGAGUAUGCGAUAUUUCUAAUUAUUUAUUAAAACUAUUUUCAUUUCUUCCUGCAAUAGUUAACAUGCCAAAUCAGAUAUUUCUAAUCUGAAACCUGUUGAUGUAGAUUUUGAUACUGAGAAGCCAAUCAAUAUUGUAUUACGUGUUGCACUAAUAAACAUCAUUACAAUGUAUAUGAUGAUAGCCAUCAUGCAUUCA